GUUUCUUUUUUUAAAUAACAUUUUCGCUUUUGCUUUUCUAGGUUUGUUUAUCUCAGAUUUUAGUGUUUCCUUGUAAUACACUUUUUCCAACGUAAGAGUUAAUUGUAUUCUCUCUUGAUGGUCUGAACACUCUCCCUGCCUUUCUUAAAGCAGCAGAUCUUUGGUUUUGAAGAGGAUUACGGUAUUGGUGCUUUUUAUUGCUGGUUAUACCUAGGUAUAACCAGCCUUCAUGUGGCUGGGAAGUCAUUUGUUUUUAAUAGUCCAGAAUGCUCCUGUCUGAUAUUUAGCAUUUCUUUGUCUUUUCACAUGAUUUUUUGACUCCAAGAGAAAUCCAAGAAAAUUUGAACUAAUUGUUGAGAUGUUUAAGGUGAUGACGAAAUGUGCUCUUACUUUGACGAUUAUUAAGACACAGAAGCUAGCUCUUGGUUUUGAAAUCAUAUAACCAUGUAUCUUCAUUUUUAAUCUUUCUUCUCCCAUUUAUCACUCCAGCUGUUCUGUUGCUACCUUGUUCUUUUGUGUUUCUGUCCUGCUUCCCUGUCUUUUUUCUUCCUGUUUGUGCAUAUGUGUGUUCAUUAAAUUCCCGAUUUUAGGCUAAAUUUGGUGGAAAGCCUUACUUGCUCAGAUUAGGGAAACCAGGUGUGACCGAAUGCUGCAUUUACUUGGUCUCUCUUUUGGGGAAUGAGCUCAUUAUUGAAUUAGUCUAUUCAUAAUAACAUUGACAAGCAGACGUUAAGAACAUGGAGGCCUGAGGGAUACAGAGAAGCAUUACUAAUUCUCUGAGGAAUAUAAUUCCUAAAUUCAAUCAUCCUUUUUUUAAAUGAUUUUUUUUUAUUUAGCUGAAGUAAGUAAGUUAACACAGCUUUUGGCAGACAGUGUGGGGCCCGAACACAUACUGGGGGAAAAAAAAAAACCUACCAUCUGAAUAGUGAAAUGCUGACUGGGCAGUAUUGAGGUUGGCAUUGAUGAGCCAUUAUUAUUACUAUUUACUUUUUUUUUUGCUUUUUAGGGCCACACCUGUGGCAUAUGGAGGUUCCCAGGUUAGGAGUCGAAUUGGAGCUGCAGCUGCUGGCCUACGCCACAGCCACAGCAAUGUGGGAUCAGAGCUGAGUAUGUGACCUAUACCACAGCUCACGGCAAUGCUGGAUCCUUAAGCUGGUGAGCAAGGCCAGGGAUUGAACCCAUAUUCUCAUGGAUAUUAGUCAGGUUCAUUAUGCUGAGCCACAACCGGGACUCCCUACUCUUUACUCUGAAUGGAUUUUGAAGGGAGGUAGGCUAGCAUAGAUACCACAUCAUUUUUACUGGUCUUGCAAGCUCCAAGAGGCCCAGAUUUUUUUCUUUUUCCUCAGUACAUGGUCUAGAAUAAGUGUUCCUUUUGUACAUUGGAUGAAUGAAUACGUAGCAAAUGAAGACUUCUUUUUGUGGUAAAGAGCUUAGAUGAUGACAAAGUUAAGUUUAUGUUUAAUGCACUGAACAUUUUAACCAGCCGAGGUGGAUUGAGGAGACACAGAGCAUCUCCCUUACAAUUCUUUCUUUGUAGAGGGAAGUGUUUCAAAAAGAAAUACUGGGCAGUUCCUGCCAUGGCUCAGUGGAAAUGCACCCAACUAGCAUCCAUGAGGACACAGGUUUGCUCCCUGGCUUCAUUCAGUGGGUUAAGGAUCUGUCAUUGCAAUGAGCUGCGGUAUAGAUCGCAGUUGAGGCUCUGAUCUGGCAUUGCUGUGGCUGUGGCAUAAGCCAGCAGCUGCAGCUCCGAUUUGACCCCUAGCCUGGGAACUUGCAUAUGCCACGGGUGUGGCCCUAAAAAGACCAGAAAAAGGAGAGGAGUACUGUAUCCCUGCCAUUCAUAGUCUCAGCUUCAUUUUCUUUUGCUCUCUUGUAAACUCAUAUACAUAAACACACUUUAUAGACUUAUUUUUUUCUAUUCUUGUUUUUAGUAGGGACAGGUUUUAUGAAAUGGGCUCCAUCAAUUCAAAUAAAUUUGAAGCUAUGUAAAAUAAAUGUAACAGCACUACCAAAAUAGCCAGAAAUAAUAGACUGCAGUAGCGUGUCUCAGCAUUCUUUAAGCAAUGUCUAAUCAAGCAUGGACAGCAUCUGUAUUUCCAGCAAGUCUCCAUAGGAAUGUUACCUUCUAACACAGUAAUUAAUCACUAGUUGCCGUGUGUCAGAAAACUUAACAAGAAGUUCCAAGGCUCUUGUAGUGUUUCAUUUUCAUGGCCUUCCUGGCCACUGGAAAAUAGAACACUCUUUUCCUCAUAAAGAAAUGAGAGAUCUGGACUGAUUCCAUCUGUAUUGAUUCUUCUACUUGUGGUCUUAAGUUGUCUCUCUCACUCUUGUUUUUUUUUUUUUUUUUAAAUGCACGCCUUUUCUCUAAUCACUCAUGUGGAUAAAUCUUGGGUGAGAUCAGGAUAGCUUAUAACAUUACAGGGAUUGCAGAGCCCCUGUCUCUGCUGGAGUUUUGACACUUUUUACCCAACCGGUGAUUUUUAGACUCCCAAGGGGCCUUGUCCUGAAAAAUCAGUACAGACUGUUUAGGAAGUGGAAGGCCUUUCCGAGUGUGCUCUUCAUCACACAUCAUCUUACCCUCAGCUGCCAGGUGCUUCUCCAGAACUGAGUCAUUGAAACAACCCAGGAGUCCAGGCAGUGCAUGACGGGAGACGUCUGAAUGGGCACUGAAGUGCCCAGGGUGGACCCGGCAGUUCGCAUGAAGGCGUCAUUGAAAAAACAUCCCCGUUUCCUUCCCAGAACUCCCAUCUCCUUCUCCAUCUCCCUUCUGGGUGUGUCGCCCGUCUUUUCUCCUUCAUCUCUCCUGUUGCCUCUCUCAUGUCUCCUUGAUUUUGUGGUCCUUUUGGUUUUCUUUAGACUAGUCAUGUGUCUCAUUCUUGAGUCUGACAAAAAAUAAGGAAAUGGAAGCUGAGGUUCAGGAAGGGGUUAGGUUCUAACCCAUGAGAAAGCUUCCUCAGGAGUUCCCAUCGUGGCUCCGUGGAAACAAAUCUGACUCACAACCAUGAGGACGCGGGUUUGAUCCCUGGCCUCGCUCAGUGGGUUCAGGAUCUGGCGUUGCCAUGAGCUGUGGUGUAGGUCGCAGAUGCGGCUUGGAUCUCACGUGGCUGUGGCUGUGGCCGGCGGCUACAGCUCCGAUUCAACCCUUAACCUGGGAACCUCCAU
rnacentral:lncRNA from 1 species